rnacentral:rRNA from 1 species
AUACGGAGGUUGCAAGCGUUAAUCGGAAUUACUGGGCGUAAAGCGUACGUAGGCGGUCCGUUAAGUUAGAUGUGAAAGCCCCGGGCUUAACCUGGGAACUGCAUUUAAAACUGGCGGACUAGAGUUGAGUAGAGGGGAGUGGAAUUUCAGGUGUAGCGGUGAAAUGCGUAGAGAUCUGAAGGAACACCAGUGGCGAAGGCGACUCCCUGGACUCGAACUGACGCUGAGGUACGAAAGCGUGGGUAGCAAACGGGAUUAGAUACCCCGGUAGUCC